CCUUAAUCUGCCUCAUUCAUCCCUAAAACAGAGGUGAUUCAAAGCACAUAGUAAGCAUCCACCUAUUUUGCCCACAGACCUACCUAGGACUACUUUUUGGAGACUGUGAUGGGACUUGUGGACAGAGAGCUUCAUCGUAGGAGAUGGAGGUUCUUCACGGGAGAGAGAUGGCCCUGUAUGGUUAUUUCACAAACAAAAGCAGCAGCAGCAGGCACCCUGGGUCACCCUCCUGUUGCAGGUUCUGGCCAGAUGCGCCUUUGACUCUCAGAAUCUUUUUGGAAGAGCACUGAGCACUCAUCUCAUCAGGUAUCAUAAAUAAAUCAGAAACGCUAGGAAUAUUUUGCUUGUCA
rnacentral:lncRNA from 1 species